GGGCCCAUAGCUUAGACUGGCUGGAGCAUCUGUCUGAUAAGCAGAAGGUCGCCAGUUCGAAUCUGGCUGGGCCCA
rnacentral:tRNA from 1 species